UACGUAGGUGGCAAGCGUUGUCCGGAUUUACUGGGCGUAAAGAGCGCGCAGGCGGUCGUUCAAGUCGCGUGUGAAAGCCCCCGGCUCAACUGGGGAGGGUCACGCGAUACUGAUCGACUCGAAGGCAGGAGAGGGUAGUGGAAUUCCCGGUGUAGCGGUGGAAUGCGCAGAUAUCAGGAGGAACACCGAUGGCGAAGGCAGGUCACUGGGCCGCAACUGACGCUGAGGAGCGAAAGCAUGGGGAGCGAACAGG
rnacentral:rRNA from 1 species